rnacentral:rRNA from 1 species
GACGUAGGAGGCGAGCGUUGUCCGGAUUCAUUGGGCGUAAAGAGCGCGCAGGCGGCUUGGUAAGUCGGAUGUGAAAUCCCGAGGCUCAACCUCGGGUCUGCAUCCGAUACUGCCCGGCUAGAGGUAGGUAGGGAGAUCGGGAAUUCCUGGUGUAGCGGUGAAAUGCGCAGAUAUCAGGAAGAACACCCGUGGCGAAGGCGGUUCUCUGGGACGGUAACUGACGGCUGGAGACGCGAAAGCGUGGGAGCGAACAGG